rnacentral:rRNA from 1 species
AUUGAACGCUGGCGGCAGGCCUAACACAUGCAAGUCGAACGAGUGGCGGACGGGUGAGUAAUGUCUGGGAAACUGCCCGAUGGAGGGGGAUAACUACUGGAAACGGUAGCUAAUACCGCAUACCAUCGGAUGUGCCCAGAUGGGAUUAGCUAGUAGGUGGGGUAACGGCUCACCUAGGCGACGAUCCCUAGCUGGUCUGAGAGGAUGACCAGCAACACUGGGACUGAGACGCGGUCCAGAAGCCGACGGGAGGCAGCAGUGGGGAAUAUUGCAAAAUGGGCGCAAGCCGGAUGCAGCGAUGCCGGGUGUAUGAAGAAGGACUUCGGGUUGUAAAGUACUUUCAGCGAGGAGGGGUUACUCGAAGAAGAAGCACCGGCUAACUCCGUGCCAUCAGCCGCGUUAAUAC